AACAACGCACAGAUGGAGAGAGUAGGCGCGCGGCGAACACCGCAGAGAGGGGUCACUUGGCUGGAAUGAUCCCGUGUCAGAGCAUGCCGAAGUUCACUCCGGAGCGGCUCGGCUGAAGUUUUAUGUUGUAGGCUGAGACGGUUCACCGCCGUUAUACGGUGCUGUCCGCCAUCGAGCGGAACAGGCUGAGGCGUCCUAUGGGCGCGAAUGCAGGGUGGUACCGCGAAGUUUCCUUCGUCCCUCAG
rnacentral:ncRNA from 1 species